CCUUUGAAACUCCGUUUGGUACAUCUUUAGAAACUGCAUUUGAAGGUUCUUUUAAAACUACGUUUGGAGGUUCCUUUGAAGCUAUUUUUGAAGAUUCCUUUGACGCUACUUUCGGAGGUUCCUUUGAAGCUACUUUUGAAGGCUCUUUUGAAAGUUGUCUUGAAAGUUCAUUUAGCGCUUCUUUCAAAGGUUCUUUUGAAGCUUCUUUCAAAGGUUGUUUUGAAGCUACUUUCAAAGAAUCUUUUUUAAUCUCCUUUGGACUUUCCUUUGGUAGUUCUUUACCAUUUUCUUUCUGAGAACCUUUCGAUAGAUCCUUUUGAACAUCGUUUUGGAUCUUUGAAUUCGGAGAAAUGGACUUAUUUGUUUCAGGUGAAGGUGGAGUGGUUUGUUCAACGGAUUUAUUCGGUACAACUCUUUUAGAAAAAGGGGCUUUUGGGGGAGUAAAUUUUGCAUGAGUUGCUGGGAUAGCA